CGAGGUACACUUUUUUUCGAAAUUUCUGCCAGGUCCACCUUUUGCUUUCGUUGAUAAUUAUUUAACUAUCACUGGGCAAGGUAGACCCUGGAGUGGUUUCUUAAAUCUCCAGUUAAUAUC
rnacentral:precursor_RNA from 15 species